rnacentral:rRNA from 1 species
GUGUACAGCCAAACCACCCUGAAUCUGCUUGAUCUUCUCUGAUCUUGGAAGCUAACCAGAGUUGGGUUUGGUUAGUACUUGGAUGGAAGACAACACUAUAAAGAUGUAGCCU